UGUGGUACCUGCACAGAGACUACGACAGCAUCUACCACCACUGAGACAACUACCACCGAUUCUACCACCACUGAGUCAACUACCACCGACACUACCACUGAGUCAACAACCACCGAUUCUACCACUACCGAGACAACUACCACCGAUUCUACCACUACCGAGACAACUACCACCGAUUCUACCACUACCGAGUCAACUACCACCGAAUCAACAACCAACGCGCCUACUACCGUGGCGCCCGAUAUCUGUUUGUCGGAUGCUACCCUGAUUAAAGUCAGUUCAGGCACGGUGGCAGAGUACUAUGUCAGAGUGAAUCCCUGCACAGCUUUGUGUAGCAAUAAAUAUUCUACUGGCUUUUGGUCCACUGCACAGACCUACAGAGGUUGCUGUGGUAACAACAUAUGCUAUUGUACUUUAACGUCCGUAUCUUAUUCUAGUAGUUGCACGUUGAUAAAUUGAUGAAAUGCGGAGAAGAAGAUUUAAAUGGAGUCCCAGAAAGACAUUUGCAGUGUUUUUGCUGAAUAAUCGAAAACAAAUACUUUUGAUUAUCAAGUCAAGCCAAAUGGUUAUAUAAGUUCUUUAAAUUAGUAUAUAAGCCUCACUCAUUUGAUUGGACUUACUGUUUUCAAUGUAUCUAGAACCCUCUAUAUGCCUUCCUUUUUUGCGAGGAUCUUCC